rnacentral:tRNA from 1 species
GAGGAUGUGGCGGAAUUGGUAUACGCUGAUGAUACUAAGCCCUACAUGUUGUCCGGAGGCUGCGAUCUUUACUAUGAAAGUAGAUGAUAAUGCCCGAAGAAAUAUCCGGUGUGGGGCGUACAGGUUCAAGUCCUGUCAUCCUCC